GAUGAACGCUGGCGGCGUGCCUAAUACAUGCAAGUCGAGCGAACGGACGAGAAGCUUGCUUCUCUGAUGUUAGCGGCGGACGGGUGAGUAACACGUGGAUAACCUACCUAUAAGACUGGGAUAACUUCGGGAAACCGGAGCUAAUACCGGAUAAUAUUUUGAACCGCAUGGUUCAAAAGUGAAAGACGGUCUUGCUGUCACUUAUAGAUGGAUCCGCGCUGCAUGAGCUAGUUGGUAAGGUAACGGCUUACCAAGGCAACGAUGCAUAGCCGACCUGAGAGGGGGAUCGGCCACACUGGAACUGAGACACGGUCCAGACUCCUACGGGAGGCAGCAGUAGGGAAUCUUCCGCAAUGGGCGAAAGCCUGACGGAGCAACGCCGCGUGAGUGAUGAAGGUCUUCGGAUCGUAAAACUCUGUUAUUAGGGAAGAACAUAUGUGUAAGUAACUGUGCACAUCUUGACGGUACCUAAUCAGAAAGCCACGGCUAACUACGUG
rnacentral:rRNA from 1 species